rnacentral:misc_RNA from 1 species
GACGAACCGUCCAAACGUUAUUCGGAAUUACUGGGCUUAAAGGGUGCGUAGGCGGUGCGGAAAGUUGGGUGUGAAAUCCCUCGGCUCAACCGAGGAACUGCGCUCAAAACUACCGUGCUUGAGGGAGACAGAGGUGAGCGAAACUAAGGGUGGAGCGGUGAAAUGCGUUGAUAUCCUUAGGAACACCGGUGGCGAAAGCGGCUCACUGGGUCUCUUCUGACGCUGAGGCACGAAAGCUAGGGGAGCGAACGGG